rnacentral:lncRNA from 1 species
UUGUCUCUUUACUAAAUCAUUGUUUUUGCUAUUCACUUUUGUCAUUAUUUCUACCAUCUUCAUUAUUUCUCUCCAACCCAGAGUGAGACAUUUCCUGUAACUUUGAUGGAAUACAAGAAGUGGAACUUGUUGGUCAACACAUUAGACAAAACAGAUGGGGAAGCAAAGAAGUGUGUGACAUAAGACAUGCAGAAAUUUGGAUCUCUCCAAUUAAUCAUGGUUCACAGCUGACAAAAAGAGUGGUGCACUGGAUCAAACCAUCACCCCUACCAUCAUCACUAGGAAAUGACAAUGCCUUCACCUGCAAGCAGGCCAUGAAAUGAAGGUGAGUAAUAGCUGUAACCUCUGCCUUCUGGGUACUUUGUGAUGUGCUAAAAAGCUCAUUUUACCCUCACAUCAGACAACAAAGUGACCAUUUUUAUGCACCUUAUACAGAUGAGGAAACUGAGGUUUAAAGUAUUAGAGUGAUUUCACAAAUCACUAAGCUGACAAAUCUCAGCUCUGAUAUGGGAGUCCAUACUAGAAGUUUGGUUCUGUCAGAAGUGGGAUCAGAUGUGAAAUUCAGAGAAACAAAUAUUUCUUCCAUAUGAUAAAGAGUUCCAACGAAUUUGGUCUGUGAGGUGCUUCUAGGGGAUGGCUUCUCUCUUUCUGGAGAUAAUGAUGGAGUGACUGGGUAAUUUCUAUUCAGUGAUUUACAGAGAGGGAUUCAGAUGUUGGCUAGGGCUUGAGGAUAUAUGUUCUCUUUCACUAUCCUCACUCUAUGAUACCAUGAUUUUAUCCCACUAAACCUUUCUUGAGGUUUCAAAGUUUUCUGAAGCUAAGGG